rnacentral:rRNA from 1 species
UCGGCUGCUAUACAUGCAGUUGAGCGCUGAAGGUUGGUACUUGUACCGACUGGAUGAGCAGCGAACGGGUGAGUAACGCGUGGGGAAUCUGCCUUUGAGCGGGGGACAACAUUUGGAAACGAAUGCUAAUACCGCAUAAAAACUUUAAACACAAGUUUUAAGUUUGAAAGAUGCAAUUGCAUCACUCAAAGAUGAUCCCGCGUUGUAUUAGCUAGUUGGUGAGGUAAAGGCUCACCAAGGCGAUGAUACAUAGCCGACCUGAGAGGGUGAUCGGCCACAUUGGGACUGAGACACGGCCCAAACUCCUACGGGAGGCAGCAGUAGGGAAUCUUCGGCAAUGGACGAAAGUCUGACCGAGCAACGCCGCGUGAGUGAAGAAGGUUUUCGGAUCGUAAAACUCUGUUGGUAGAGAAGAACGUUGGUGAGAGUGGAAAGCUCAUCAAGUGACGGUAACUACCCAGAAAGGGACGGCUAACUACGUGCCAGCAGCCGCGGUAAUACGUAGGUCCCGAGCGUUGUCCGGAUUUAUUGGGCGUAAAGCGAGCGCAGGUGGUUUAUUAAGUCUGGUGUAAAAGGCAGUGGCUCAACCAUUGUAUGCAUUGGAAACUGGUAGACUUGAGUGCAGGAGAGGAGAGUGGAAUUCCAUGUGUAGCGGUGAAAUGCGUAGAUAUAUGGAGGAACACCGGUGGCGAAAGCGGCUCUCUGGCCUGUAACUGACACUGAGGCUCGAAAGCGUGGGGAGCAAACAGGAUUAGAUACCCUGGUAGUCCACGCCGUAAACGAUGAGUGCUAGAUGUAGGGAGCUAUAAGUUCUCUGUAUCGCAGCUAACGCAAUAAGCACUCCGCCUGGGGAGUACGACCGCAAGGUUGAACAGAAAAAAAAAGGGGGGGGGAAUA